UACGUAGGGCGCAAGCGUUGUCCGGAAUUAUUGGGCGUAAAGAGCUCGUAGGCGGUUUGUCGCGUCUGCUGUGAAAACCUGAGGCUCAACCUCGGGCUUGCAGUGGGUACGGGCAGACUAGAGUGCGGUAGGGGUGACUGGAAUUCCUGGUGUAGCGGUGGAAUGCGCAGAUAUCAGGAGGAACACCGAUGGCGAAGGCAGGUCACUGGGCCGCAACUGACGCUGAGACACGAAAGCGUGGGUAGCAAACAGG
rnacentral:rRNA from 1 species